rnacentral:tRNA from 2 species
ACAAGGCUUAAAGGUACUUUAAAGUACUGACUUUUAAUCAAGUUGUCCCGGGUUCGAGUCCCGGGUGUCUCA